ensembl:lncRNA
CAACGAGAGACCAGACGGCAGCUACAACGGUAGCAGUGCUGUGGGGGACAGUGUUUCGGUCCUUUGGGUGCCCAGAGCGGAUCUUGACUGACCAGGGGCCAGCAUUUGAAGCUGACUUGACCCAGCAGCUGUGUACCCUGUAUGGGUGUCGCAAGGGUAACUGAAAGGAACGAGAGAGAUUUCCCAGGUGACGCUGGAGUGAUGACGCGAUCCAGCAGCGACACGCCGGACAACAACAAUCGCCAGCCAGCCGGCGUGAGGGGAGAGAAGCAUGUUAGCAUGCCAGCUAAAGGGAAGUGCUUGUACUGAUUCGAGUGGAUACUCUGUGUGAAUGGGUCAGCUUCUAGCCUGCCGGUUUGUAAGUGUGCUUUCUGUCCAGAGCUACCGUCAGAGGAGAAGCAGAAGCGGCAUCGGGAGGAAGAGUGCGAGAGAGAGACGCAGACUGUCACCAGCCAGGGUGUGUGGAAGUGCGACGGUGGCGUGAUCUUCCCUCCUUCAUCCUGCAACGAUGAACCGCUGUUUCGCUUGCUCCUGGACUUAUUGAGCUCGUGGGGUUUGGGUGUUUUGCUGUGUUUUGGUCGGCGUGGGGGAUGCCGCCGACCAAAAGUGUUUUCCUUCAUCACCGGCAGCGCACCCGCUUAGCGGGGCAGGCAUGAACUGGGUGAGCCCCUCUUAUUGGUUUCCACUUGCUGGGGAGGUAAGUGUAGCCUAACGUGACGAGGGGCUGUUUAGUGUAGCGUGGGAGCGAACUGUAACAGUGGUGUCGCUUGCUGUGGGUGUGUGUGAGCCAUCUGUGCACGGACAUUGCUUAUGUAUAUUUCACGUGUGAAUUGUAACACCAGUGUUUUGCCUAGCUGGGAAUGAUAUUGGGGGCUUUGCUGUGGGGAGUUUGUUUCUAAUGCAUUGCAUGUCUUAUUUCUAAGUGGCCUCUCUGAAAUUAAGUUGUACUCCCCCUCCCCCCUUUGUGGUGCCUGACUGGCUAUUAGUUAGCCUCUUUAUCCUGUGUGAUUGGGGUGGGUUACAUAGGAUAGGCUGGGCCUAAACUAUGUACUAUAUUUUGCCCAGGGACUGUGUGCUUCUAAGUGUGUGUGUGGCUGCCGGC